rnacentral:rRNA from 1 species
GAUGAACGCUAGCGGGAGGCCUAACACAUGCAAGCCGAGCGGUAGAGUUUCUUCGGAAACUUGAGAGCGGCGCACGGGUGCGUAACACGUGUGCAACCUACCUUUAUCUGGGGGAUAGCCUUUCGAAAGGAAGAUUAAUACCCCAUAAUAUAAUGAUUGGCAUCAAUUAUUAUUGAAAACUCCGGUGGAUAGAGAUGGGCACGCGCAAGAUUAGAUAGUUGGUGAGGUAACGGCUCACCAAGUCAAUGAUCUUUAGGGGUCCUGAGAGGGAGAUCCCCCACACUGGUACUGAGACACGGACCAGACUCCUACGGGAGGCAGCAGUGAGGAAUAUUGGACAAUGGGUGAGAGCCUGAUCCAGCCAUCCCGCGUGAAGGAGGACGGUCCUAUGGAUUGUAAACUUCUUUUGUACAGGGAUAAACCUACUCUCGUGAGGGUAGCUGAAGGUACUGUAAGAAUAAGCACCGGCUAACUCCGUG